GAUAUCAACUCAGUGGCUUGGUAGAACAUGAGACUCUUAAUCUCAGGGUUGUGGAUUCAAGCCCCACGUUGGGCU